rnacentral:rRNA from 1 species
GUACAUACAAGCGGUGCAACCGUAUUAUAACCUAUGGAUGAAUACUGGGAACUGAAUUACCAAUGGGCCAAGCCUGAAUGGCGGUUGAUGAUACCUGUAAUGACUGGCUCACUUGUGUAGUAAUGGCCACAAGCUAUAACAGGUAACGGGCUCCCNUUUGGAGAGGAGGGCCCGGAAUGGUACUGGAGACACGGACCCANGGCCCUAUGGGGCGCAGCAGGGCGGAAGAAACCUUUGCAUGUUGCGAAAGCACCGGACAAGGUUAAUCCGAGUGUCUCCUGCUAAAGGAGUCUUUUGUCAGUUGUAGAAUCACUGGCGAAUAAGGGGUGGGCAAGUUCUGGUGUCAGCCGCCGCGGUAAAACCAGCACCUCGAGUGGUCAGGAGGUUUAUUGGGCCUAAAGCAUCCGUAGCCGGUUGCAUAAGUUUUCGGUUAAAUCUAUGCGCUCCAACG